CUUUUUUCUCCGUCAACAAGGGUAACGAUUUCAAAUGUACCGCCGUUUAUUCCAAAUGAGCUAUUGGAGCGCGAGUUAUUGCGCUUUGGGAAGUUUGCAAGUUCAAUUAAGGUUGUCCCAUUGGGUUGCAAACACCCGGCGUUGAAACAGGUUAUGUCUUUUCGGCGACAGGUGUUUAUGUUUUUGGACUCACCGGAGCAGACUUUGGAGUUAGCGUUUAAAGUCAAGUAUGAAAAUAGAUUGUAUAUGGCUUAUGCUAGUACGGGUAGUCAACGGUGUUUUGAGUGUGGGGAUGUUGGUCAUAAGCGACAUGCUUGCCCGAAAAGGGAGAAGGCAGAGGGAGGGGCGCAGGUGGUCCUCGUAACGCCUGGGCCCACUGAUGUAGGGAGAGGGGGGCCGACAGCGGUUGAGCAGCCACAAGCACCUGCUGCUGAGGAACAAGUUAUCCAUGUUGAGGACACGGAGUUGCAACUUGUGUUAGAGGGAAAUGUUAUGCAGCAGAAACAUUUUGUUGUAGAAAGCAAGGAUAGAUCUGAAGAGCCAGUUCCUCAGACUGGUGAGUAGGUGCCCAGUACGAGUGCUGGGGUACAGGAGGGGGUUCAUAUGGAGCUAGUCUCCCAGGUAGUGGAGGAGAUGCCCACUAUGAGUAACGGGGUACAGGAGGGGGUUCAUGUGGAGCUAGACUCCCAGGUAGUGGAGGAGAUGCCCACUACUAGUAAUAGGGUACAGGUGGGGCUAGUCUCCCAGGUAGUGGAGGAGAUGCCCACUACUAGUAAUAGGGUUCAGGUGGGGCUAGUCUCCCAGGUAGUGGAGGAGAUGCCCACUACUAGUAAUAGGGUUCAGGUGGGGCCAGUCUCCCAGGUAGUGGAGGAGAUGCCCACUAUUAGUAAUGGGGUUCAGGUAGAGCUAGUCUCCCAGGUAGUGGAGGAGAUGCCCACUACUAGUAAUAGGGUUCAGGUAGAGCUAGUCUCCCAGGUAGUGGAGGAGAUGCCUGCUACGAGUGAUGGGCUGCAAGUGGGGAGUGAUGAAAGGGAUGUGUUAGAAGCGAGUCAGGGGUCUGUGGCCUCAGUUGAGGAGGAGCAGGAUAUGGAUAUCUCUAUUGGUAUGAUAGCAGCUGGUGAUGACUCAAUUUAUGAUCUAGAGGAGGUAAAUAGGUUUUUGGAUCAGACUUUUGGGAAAUCUGUCAAAUUGGCAGAAUAUUUUGAUGUUGAUAAGUUUGUGAGGUCAGCUGUGAUGUUACAGAAGACGGUGGGGUUAGACCAGUUAAGUGAGAAGAAGCGGUUUCGCUUGAGGAAAUUUGUUACUGCUGUUACAGCAGCAAAAGGUGGUGGGAAACGUGGUCAGGGUAAGAGAAAAUUUAAACAAUGAUGUUGAUCAUGCUUCAUAG
rnacentral:lncRNA from 1 species